AGCCAGCUGGAGCUUACCUGUGUCACGUGACCUGGCAUUGGAGGUCUGCUCCACUGCCACGUUUUAGAACGGCUUGGAUCUGAAGAAGUAUCGAAUUCUUUAUAUGACUAAAUCGCCCUUCGUGCCUUUUUUUUUUGGUAGAAACAAGAGCCAGAGCUUUCAUUAAAUAGCUAAACCGUAGUACAUACCAGUUAUAUAGAUAAAAGAAAGGAAAACAACACUACUACCAGUUAUACACAGACUGAAACGAAAGUGAAAACCAACAAUGAU
rnacentral:lncRNA from 1 species